rnacentral:rRNA from 1 species
GAUGAACGCUGGCGGCGUGCCUAAUACAUGCAAGUAGAACGCUGAAGGAAGGAGCUUGCUCUUUCCGGAUGAGUUGCGAACGGGUGAGUAACGCGUAGGUAACCUGCCUGGUAGCGGGGGAUAACUAUUGGAAACGAUAGCUAAUACCGCAUAACAGUAGAUGUUGCAUGAUAUCUACUUAAAAGGUGCAAUUGCACCACUACCAGAUGGACCUGCGUUGUAUUAGCUAGUUGGUGAGGUAACGGCUCACCAAGGCGACGAUACAUAGCCGACCUGAGAGGGUGAUCGGCCACACUGGGACUGAGACACGGCCCAGACUCCUACGGGAGGCAGCAGUAGGGAAUCUUCGGCAAUGGACGGAAGUCUGACCGAGCAACGCCGCGUGAGUGAAGAAGGUUUACGGAUCGUAAAGCUCUGUUGUAAGAGAAGAACGAGUGUGAGAGUGGAAAGUUCACACUGUGACGGUAUCUUACCAGAAAGAGACGGCUAACUACGUG